UUUGCGAACACAGAUGCUUUGAGCUACACAGAUGGGGUUUCGGGUGUAGUUGCGUGCAAAAAUGUGUCACAACGCAUUUCAUAACACAACAUAAGCGCAAGCUGCAUUCUAAGCAUUACAGCAAAGGGUGGUAUAACGACAGCCAAGACUGUCCAAGCGAUCUUCUGCCGGUGUGCCGUGGUAGACCAGCAGCUCUGGACACAUCCUCAAAUUUCAAUCUUGGCAACUAUGACACAGAUACAGUGACACACCUUUCUGUGGUGAGCUGAAGUGAUAGGAAUGGCAGUGUUUCUGAGGGCCUGUUCUCCUCACUGCAAGUUCUCUGAAAAAACGCGUGGCAACGGCUUUGAAAACAGCUUGCAGUCUUAAGUUUCUCCAGCAGGGAGAUCACAACGCAAA